GUUUUUAUUUUAGGUAGGACCUGCUCACUGAGUUAUUAAAGAGCCGCGGUAAUCUGACUGUGCAAAGGUAGCAUAAUCAUUAGUAUUUUAAUUGUUUACUGGAAUGAAGGGUUUAACGAGAAAUAUUCUGUCUCUAUUUAAUAUUUAGAAUUUUAUUUUUUAGUAAAAAAGCUGAGAUGUUUUUUUUGGACGAUAAGACCCUAUAGAGUUUAAUUUAUAUUUUUUUUUAUGAUUUGGGGUGAGUUUUAUUUAUAUUAUUUAUUUAAAUUUAGUUGGGGUGACUUGAAUAAUUGUUAAACUAUUCAUUGCUUUUUUUCAUUGAUUUAUGUCUUUUUUGAUCCUUUUUUAUGGGCUUUAAGAUUAAAUUACCUUAGGGAUAACAGCACAAUUGUUUUUGAGAGUUCUUAUUGACAAAGCAGAUUGUGACCUCGAUGUUGGAUUAAGAUUAUCAUUAGGUGUAGGGGCUUAAUUGUAUUGGUCUGUUCGACCAUUAAAGUCUUACAUGAUCU
rnacentral:rRNA from 1 species